AACGAACGCUGGCGGCAUGCCUAACACAUGCAAGUCGAACGAUGCCUUCGGGCAUAGUGGCGCACGGGUGCGUAACGCGUGGGAAUCUGCCCUUGGGUUCGGAAUAACUCAGAGAAAUUUGAGCUAAUACCGGAUGAUGACGUAAGUCCAAAGAUUUAUCGCCCAAGGAUGAGCCCGCGUAAGAUUAGCUAGUUGGUGGGGUAAAGGCCUACCAAGGCGACGAUCUUUAGCUGGUCUGAGAGGAUGAUCAGCCACACUGGGACUGAGACACGGCCCAGACUCCUACGGGAGGCAGCAGUGGGGAAUAUUGGACAAUGGGCGAAAGCCUGAUCCAGCAAUGCCGCGUGAGUGAUGAAGGCCUUAGGGUUGUAAAGCUCUUUUACCAGGGAUGAUAAUGACAGUACCUGGAGAAUAAGCUCCGGCUAACGUCCGUGCCAGCAGCCG
rnacentral:rRNA from 1 species